rnacentral:tRNA from 1 species
GCGGAAGUGGCUCAGUGGUAGAGCACUGGCUUCCCAAGCCGGGGACCGCGGGGUUAAGACUGUGAAUCCCGUCUUCCGCU